rnacentral:lncRNA from 1 species
UGUCUUCCUGGUACUACACAUGAAGAUGUCCCACUCUCCACUGCUCAAGGAGAGAGUGCCUGACCUGAGCUGGGCCCAUCAGAUCCAGUACUUACCUGGAAUAGGAAAAAGAUGGGGAGGGUGACCAAAGAUUACAAAAAUCUCUGAAGCUUAUCUACUUGAGAGAGAGUCCCUGAAGAUACUGGCCUCUCAUUCCUGCUAUGUAUAUCCAAUGUGACUGAACUCUGAAUAAAAUAUAUAAGUUAUAACAAUGUAGCAAUUGACCCAGCAAACGAGGACACAAACGUGUUGGAGGGAUUUGAGUUUGAUGUCAUGCAUAUAAUGUGAUCCCACUGUAUGACUACACAAAUGUUGGCAAAAGUAAGUUCAGAGGAAAUGGUAGGCAAGUACUUCCCAGUUUUGACCAGAAGAUGGAGAAAAAAAGAAUUCUCAAAAAAUGUUAAAGGAUUUCCUUUUUAUCACUGGUUUUGAUGGAUUUGAUUAAGAUGUUCCUUGGUGAAGUUUUCUUCAUGUUUCUUGUUCUUAGAAUAAUCAUAUUUCUGUAAUAUUUGAAGUUUAUGGUUUCCAUGGAGCUUCUAAAUCUUUCAUCCAGUAUGUUUUAAAUAUCUUUGUCUCUCUUCUCCACUACACGCCCUUCAGGGAUUCCAUUUAGCCCUA